rnacentral:lncRNA from 1 species
UGCCGAUGAGUUUUGGUUGCUAUAUUCUUAUGGUUGUCUUCUUAUUUUCUCUGAUGAUGAUCCAAACUAAAUGGAUAUUGAAGGGCUGGCCUAUUUUUUUUUUUUUACCCAUAUAUAUGAUGUCUUAAAGUUGAUGGGUGCCGAUAGUUUUGCUUGCUAUAUUCUUAUGGUUGCCUUCUUAUUUUUUCUGACGAUGAUUCAAACUUAAUUAAUGGAUAUUGAAGGAAAUGGCUUCAUAGAUUGCUA